rnacentral:lncRNA from 1 species
UCCAAUCACGGUGGGCAAAACUGACUCGGAGAGAAAAGCGAGAAGCCAACUCAUUAGCUGUUGGUCGUGCUUCAUCCAAGGGAUGUACACCGGGUUGGGCUAUGCAAGUCCAUCCUCGACGGUGGAAGUGUCUCUGCUAGGCGAACUUCACUGCCAUCCACGAAAUCGAGAAGAUCAUUGCUGUGCAGAAGAGGCAUGAUCUGGGUCUUCCAUAGGAUGUACUUUUCCCUUGUUAGCUGGAUGGGAAUAAACUGUAGAGCAUUGGUGAGGGAGAUAUUGAAAGAGG